AUUGUACGCUGGCGGCAUGCCUUACACAUGCAAGUCGAACGGCAGCACGGGUGCUUGCACCUGGUGGCGAGUGGCGAACGGGUGAGUAAUAUAUCGGAACGUACCUUAUCGUGGGGGAUAACGCAGCGAAAGUUGCGCUAAUACCGCAUACGCCCUAAGGGGGAAAGCAGGGGACCGUAAGGCCUUGCGCGAUUAGAGCGGCCGAUAUCUGAUUAGCUAGUUGGUGAGGUAAAGGCUCACCAAGGCGACGAUCAGUAGCUGGUCUGAGAGGACGAUCAGCCACACUGGGACUGAGACACGGCCCAGACUCCUACGGGAGGCAGCAGUGGGGAAUUUUGGACAAUGGGGGCAACCCUGAUCCAGCAAUGCCGCGUGAGUGAAGAAGGCCUUCGGGUUGUAAAGCUCUUUUGUCAGGGAAGAAACAGCAGCUCUAAUACAGUUUGCGAAUGACGGUACCUGAAGAAUAAGCACCGGCUAACUACGUGCCAGCCGCCGCGGUAACAC
rnacentral:rRNA from 1 species